GAAAAAGUAUGCAAGAACUGCUAAUUCAUGCCCCCAUGCCUAAUAACAUGGCUUUUUCA
rnacentral:tRNA from 1 species